rnacentral:rRNA from 1 species
UGGGGAAUAUUGGGCAAUGGGCGAAAGCCUGACCCAGCAACGCCGCGUGAAGGAUGAAGUAUUUCGGUAUGUAAACUUCGUAAGAAUAGGAAGAAUAAAUGACGGUACUAUUUGUAAGGUCCGGCUAACUACGUGCCAGCAGCCGCGGUAAUACGUAGGGACCAAGCGUUGUUCGGAUUUACUGGGCGUAAAGGGCGCGUAGGCGGUGUGUCAAGUCAGUUGUGAAAUCUCCGAGCUUAACUCGGAACGGUCAACUGAUACUGUCACACUAGAGUACAGAAGGGGCAAUCGGAAUUCUUGGUGUAGCGGUGAAAUGCGUAGAUAUCAAGAGGAACACCUGAGGUGAAGACGGGUUGCUGGGCUGACACUGACGCUGAGGCGCGAAAGCCAGGGGAGCAAACGGGAUUAGAUACCCUUGUAGUCCCUGAGCGGGCUGGCAAGGCGCAU